rnacentral:lncRNA from 1 species
AGUAAACAUAGUUUCAUUGCCAAUGAAAUUCUUGACUUUGCUUUUUUAUUAACUCAAAUUUACCAACAAUGCAAUUUCCAAAUAACCAGCUUCGGAAGAGUUCUUAAAUCAUUGAAGUAUUCAGGAUUCAUGGAGUCCUGACAAUCAGGAUUUGACAUUGAGGAAGAUGUGACGGGAGGACCCAUGUGGAGCUGAGUGACGCUAAUGUGAACUUUCAUUUUUGACAGUUCACUGUAAAAGUGUGGCCUAUCUUGCACUGGAUAGAAGACGAGGAAGAGAUUCUCAGUCAAACCUGCAUGAUUUCCUCAAACUCUGUUUCAUACAGGAACAACGUGUGAAAUGAAAGACCUCAGGUGCUGUGCUGGCUCUUGACAGCUCUUCAGAAGAAAGCACCUCCUGCCUGUUCUGUUCAGUCCUGGUACAGCUUGCAGGAAGACAAAUGCCCUCCCCAGCUCACCCACAUCGCAUGAAGCUUUGGAGGAGUCAGUGACCAUGUGAACCCACCUCAACCUCUGCUCCCUCGUUCAGCAUUUGGCUUGGGAAAACGUACCACUGUUGCCUGUCUCUUAAACAUUAUUUCCAGGCUCAGGUCUUCCA